rnacentral:rRNA from 1 species
GAUGAACGCUGGCGGCGUGCCUAAUACAUGCAAGUCGAGCGAACAGACGAGGAUCUUGCUCCUCUGACGUUAGCGGCGGACGGGUGAGUAACACGUGAAUAACCUACCUAUAAGACUGGAAUAACUUCGGGAAACCGGAGCUAAUACCGGAUAAUAUAUUGAACCGCAUGGUUCAAUAGUGAAAGACGGUUUUGCUGUCACUUAUAGGUGGAUCCGCGCCGCAUUAGCGAGUUGGUAAGGUAACGGCUUACCAAGGCAACGAUGCGUAGCCGACCUGAGAGGGUGAACGGCCACACUGGAACUGAGACACGGUCCAGACUCCUACGGGAGGCAGCAGUAGGGACUCUUGCGCAAUGGGCGAAAGCCUGACGGAGCAACGCAGCGUGAGUGAUGAAGGUCUUCGGAUCGUAAAACUCUGUUAUUAGGGAAGAACACAUGUGUAAGUAACUAUGCACGUCUUGACGGUACCUAAUCAGAAAGCCACGGCUAACUACGUG